UUCUUUCUCUCUGCCCUGUGAGCACACAGCAAGAAGCAGUGUCUGCAAGCCAGGAAGAGAGCUCUCACCAGAAUCUAAGCAUCCUGACACCCUGAUCUCAGAUUCUGGACUCCAACGCUGUGAGAAAAUAGAUUUCUGUUCUGUUGUUUAAACAACCCAGUCUAUGGUAUUUUGUGAUGGCAGAUCAAGGUGACUAAUCGUAGAUCAAUCAGCAUAGUGAAUGGAAAAAUUACCCAUGGAAACCACUUUUGAGAAAACUAGAGGACGGAAAAUCCCCACAAAUCUCCCCUCAGAGGACAAACACAUUCAAUAAAAUUUAGACACAUUCAGACAUAUUUAGAAUUCAGACCUAUUGUCUAAACCCCUACCAGCAGUAGACGGUUGUAGAGCAGGAGUGGUGGAAAAUGAGAAUUGAGAUCCUCAGAAAUGUCUAGCGAAUAAUCUCUUCUAUAAAUUCACAGCAUGACACGGAAGGAAAAUAACUAGAAAUAGAAAAUGCAUUGAGCAGAAUAGGAAUCCGGGGCAAGGGAUAAAGAAAGUGUGGGGAGGGGAGGGCAGCUCAGGGGAGGUGGAUUCCAGAAGGCGCUGUCAACGCGGAGUGCGAACCAGGGCUGGAGGCAGAAAACCUUCCUGAACCAGUCCCCCAUCCUUUUAAUUUAAAAAAUUCCGUCACCGUUUUUGGACAACCUGGGUCACCUGUCCCACAGACUGCCCCCUUUCUGAUUUUGUCUUUUCGCCACCUACAUUUCCUGCAAAGUAGACAUUAGCUCUGAACACUUGAUUGGAGGAAAAUUCAGUUUUUGGACAGAAAUUCUAUGUUUUAAUACUUGAUGAUUACUGGGUGCUGCAUCACUCCAGGAAGGACUUAAUGUCUGGUUUUCCCCUUUGUACAGUGGAAGAUUGGUCCACCGGUGACGACUUGAUCCUUCCGCCAUGAAGACGUCUACCAACUAACUCAUCUGACUGGUGACCGUGAAGUCCAGCCACCUGUUGCCUUACACUGCCAUGGUGAUUCUUUAGAAACACGGGUCCCCUUCUAUUAUUACUCUCUGCUCAGGACUCUCCAGCUUCUUCCUAACUCACUCAGACUGCAGCCGAGCUGAAGAAACUGUGAAAACAGAGUCUGAUUGUCCAUGAAAGACAACGCCACCUUAUUUUGUAAAAAGAAAACCUGGAUUCUCCUAAGUCGGCCCCUGAAAGGGACUCUGCCCGUGGGGAUGGUGGAAACGUAAACCCCGCAGCCCCUCAUCUUCUCCCAGGUGAUGCCUCAGUCACACUGGCUCCAAGGACAUGCUCCUGCCCUUGAGUGCUCUAGGUCAGACGUGGUGCCACCCUGCACAUACUGGCACAAGCGACCCUCUCCUUUGCUCCGUCUCGGAAAGUCUCCAGUGCGUGAGUCCCCGUCUUUUCCGUUGGCUCCACGAUGACCGUUGUAUGGCUGUCCCAUAACGUAUUUAGCCUCUCUCUGCCGAUAGGAUUUGGGCCAUUUCUAUCCUUUUUUUUUUCACUCCAAAGUGCUUCAGUAAAACAAUCAAUAACUUCCUUUGCACGUAUGUGAAGAUGUAGGACAACUUUCUAGAACUGCUGGGUCAAAGAAUAGGUGCACCUCGAGUGUAAAUACAUAUUGUCAAAUUUACAUUAAUAGUGUUCCAAUUUAUACCCCUGCACCCCCCACCCCACACAUGCACACAAGGAGUGUAUGCACUUAAUCAGAGUUUACAAGAGGCCUAGGUUUAAUGUAAGGAAAUAAACCUGGUGGCCUGAAGCGGGAUAAUAUGGUUUAUGAGACAUGGCUUACCAGUCUUUAGUUUGUGAUCCAGUAGAGGAAUGCUUUGCUUCCUAACUCUCAACUCGCUUGCACAGAGCAGGAACUCUCGGGGAGGGGGGUAGUUGUUUUCUGCCCCCCGCCCCCACCUGCCUCACAUCCUCCCACUUCUCUGAGCCAGAAGGGAACACAGAUGCCUUAGGUAUUGCAACUCAGGGAAUAGGACACAUAGUCUUUUUCUGACUUCUACUGAGCAAGGUCGCCAAACAGAUGUGACUGCCAGCUGACCCAUGAGCCGGUCCCAGGCACUUGGAGGC